rnacentral:rRNA from 1 species
AAUCAAGCGUCUUAAGGGCAUUCGGUGGAUGCCUUGGCGCGCAGAGGCGAUGAAGGACGUGGCACGCUGCGAUAAGCCAUGGGGAGCUGUGAGCAAGCUUUGAUCCGUGGAUUUCCGAAUGGGGAAACCCAACCCGCAAGGGUUAUCGUUACCUGAAUACAUAGGGUAACGAAGCGAACCCGGGGAACUGAAACAUCUCAGUACCCGGAGGAAAGGACAUCAACCGAGACUCCGUUAGUAGUGGCGAGCGAACGCGGAUCAGGCCAGUGGUCAUUUUGUAAGAACUAGAAUUGUCUGGAAAGGCAAGCCAAAGUGGGUGAUAGCCCCGUAUAGGUAGAAAGCAGAAUGAUCCAAGAGUAAGGCGGGACACGUGUAAUCCUGUCUGAACAUGGGGGGACCAUCCUCCAAGCCUAAGUACUCCUUAGAGACCGAUAGUGAACAAGUACCGUGAGGGAAAGGUGAAAAGAACCCCGAUGAGGGGAGUGAAAUAGACCUGAAACGGGAUGCCUACAAGCAGUUGGAGCCUCUUUAUGGGGUGACAGCGUACCUUUUGUAUAAUGGGUCUGCGAGUUAGUCUUGCUAGCAAGCUUAAGCCGAUAGGCGUAGGCGAAGGGAAACCAAGUCUGAAUAGGGCGACAAGUUAGCAGGAUUAGACCCGAAACCCGGUGAUCUUACCAUGGACAGGAUGAAAGCAAGGUAACACUUGCUGGAGGUCCGAACCCGUACCUGUUGAAAAAGGUUGGGAUGAUCUGUGGUAAGGGGUGAAAGGCCAAUCAAACCGGGUAAUAGCUGGUUCUCCGCGAAAUCUAUUUAGGUAGAGCCCUAUGCCAUUGACCUACGGGGGUAAAGCACUGGAUAGACUAGGGGGACGCGAGUCCUACCAAAUCUAACCAAACUCUGAAUACCGUAGAGUUUUACCAUAGGAGUCAGACGGCGGGUGAUAAGGUCCGUCGUCGAGAGGGAAAAAGCCCAGACCGACAGCUAAGGUCCCUAAAUCAUUGCUAAGUGACAGGAAGGAUGUGAAAACUCCAAAACAACCAGGAGGUUGGCUUAGAAGCAGCCAUCCUUUAAAGAAAGCGUAAUAGCUCACUGGUCUAAUUAAGAGUUCUCGCGCCAAAGAUGUAACGGGGCUCAAGCAAUGUACCGAAGCUUCGGAUGUCAUACUUUACUGUAUGACGUGGUAGCGGAGCGUUCUGUAAGCCUGUGAAGUUCGAUCGUUAGGUCGGAUGGAGGUAUCAGAAGUGAGAAUGCAGACAUGAGUAGCGAUAAACAGGGUGAG